UGUUUUAUGUAGGAUGUCUUAGAGGAUAAUUAUUAUUAUAGUAGGAGAAUUUACUUUGUUUUUUGUAUUGUUAAAGAAAGAGAAAUUUUGUGUUCUAAAGAAAAUUUAAGUUUUGAAAUAGAAAUUAUUAGUGUAUGUACUUUUUGGAGAAUGGUUUAUAGAGAUUAUAUAUUGAUAUAUUUUCUUGAAAAUCUAAGAGCUAUUGUUUUUUAUGUUUUUGUUGCAUAAAAGUUGUUAAAGGGAAUAAUAGAGGUGACAUGUUUAGCGAAUAGGUUGAUAGCUAGUUUAAGGAGAAACAUAUUUUGUAUGGAGUAAGUUUUUUAUUUUUUAAGUUAAAAUAAAUAGUAAGGCUUAUAUUCAGACCUUUAAGGCUUAGCUUUGAGGUAUAUUAAUUGGUUGGUUGAAAAAUAAAGUAGGGUUUAUAUUGCCUAUCUUUAAAACUUUUUUAUAAAGUGAGUUGUAAUAAAAGUAACAUUUUGUAGUAUCUUUAUAAGUGUAAAAAUUUUUUGGGUUGAGAUUAGUAUAAAAUGAGUAAUUUUGUUUUAAUGUAUUAAAAAUUUAAAAAUAUUUUUUAUAUGUUAAUGUUACAUGCUUGUUUUAUGUAAAAAUGAGGUGAGUGUGAAAGAAUUAUAUUUACUUUUAGUUUUAGUUUUUUGAAUUAAAAUUGUAAUUUAUGCUGAAAGAACUCGGCAAAUUUUCUCUGUGCCUGUUUAUUAAACACAUGGCUUUCUGAUUUGAAGAUAUAGAAGGUCUCACCUGCUCGAUGACGUUUUGUUAAAUGGCCGCUUUUUGUGCUAAGGUAGCGCGGUGAGUAGCUCCUUAAUUGGGAGAUAGGAUGAAUGGUUGGACGUGGAGAGGCUGUUUCCAGCGUAGUAAACUAGAAAUUUUUUUUUAAGUGAAAAAGCUUAAAUUUUUGUAAAAGACGAUAAGACCCUGUCGAACUUAAUUAGGUUUAAAAUAUUAAAUAGUGGUAGUUGUUUUAGUUAGUUAUUCUUUGUUUUAGGGUGUAAAAUUAUUUUUAUGUAGUUAAAUUUUUAUUUAUUAAGUUUGUUUACACUUUAAGGUUAGUUUACUUAAAUUAAGUUAUUUAAAUAAUAUAUUAUUUCUGAAUCUUUGUUGGGGCAACAGAUGUUUAUUAAACAACAUUUUUUUAUUAUAAAGACCCUAUAUGAUAGACUAGAGCAAAAGUUACCGCAGGGAUAACAGCGUAAUUUUUUUUUGUAAAUUUUAUUGGAAAAAAAGUUUACGACCUCGAUGUUGAAUUAAGAAAACUUUAUGGCUUAGGCGCUAUAAUGAGUAAAACUGUUCGUUUUUUAAUUUCUUACAUGAUUUGAGUUAAGAUCGGCGUGAGCUAGAUUGGUUUCUAUCUUUAAUUAUAGUUUCUAUUGUACGAAAGGAUCCAGAAACAGUGUUUUACACAAAUUGAAAGCUACAAAAAUUAGAUUUGGCU
rnacentral:rRNA from 1 species